rnacentral:lncRNA from 1 species
GCGGGGUUUGCGCUCUUGGAGCUGGAGCGAGUGGCCAGUCUCGCUGUCAAUCGUCGCAGACCCGCCAAUGACGACGUGGAAGGCGGGGCCAAAGGAACGCUGUCCAGGGAAGCGAAACGCUUGACCGGGCUCUUUAAAACGUGGAUUGUGCAGCGCGGCUUCCGUGGACCGUUCCCCUCCGGGAUGGGGAACAUGGCGGCUCCGUCUCCUGCUGUCCCCAAAGUGACCUGUGGUGGCAAAGUCCAGUCCAGGUCAUCCUGUGGGCCUGUACGGAGAAGAGAGUGGAACUGGAACCAACAGUCAAGAGCAGGCAGACAAGACCAGCAAAUUUCCUCAGCGAUUCCUUCAAUCUCUCUAGAAACCAACUUCUCUACUUCUCCUGUGAUGCCAGGGGAAAGCCGGGCAAUUCGGACUUUGCCUUCUCUGAGCUGCAGUCUUUCCGGCCAACAUGGACACCUUUCGUCAAAGCUGAUGUGGCUCAGCACCAAGUUCAGGCUGGAGGCUUCUUGUUCACUGGCAGUGCCACCAAGAUCUCCUCUGUUCCCUGUCUGUAUAAAGUCACUUGUUUUCUGGGGGGUGUUAAUUUGUUGAAACUUAAGUGAAGAGUUUGGGUAAUUGGGAGGGAGUUCUUGAUACAAAUCUGCACUAGGUAAGGUGCGUUCCAAGACGCUUCUGCCCUUUAGUCUCAUGGAUGGCUCUGGUUCCCGGUUCCUCUAUUGCUUUAUUGGCACAGGUUUCAUCCAGAAGGUCGCAUCACAGAAGCUGAAGUUCACUCACCAAGGGUGAAAACAAUCCACAUUUCUUUGUGAGUAGAGACUAAAGUAUGUUGCCUUUAUGCAGCCCACUGACACUUCAAAGUCAUUUGAUCCUUCUGAUUGGUUGGAUCACAUAAGAUUUGCAGAAGAUAGGGGUCAUUAUGUUGUCUGCCCAGUGAAAACCUGAGACCUGAGAUACUUAGAAAUACCUGUGCUCAAGCCCAUGUUCCUUCACCAAGUGACAUGACAGUGACCAUCACUGGCCUGGUUGCUAGUCAAAAACUCAACUUGUGAAACUUAACCGUAACUGCGAUGCCUUCUUCCCCUUCCACAUACACUAGGGCCCACUGCCCAGGACAUUCAUUUGAGGUCCCUUCAUGGCGGGAGGGGUGCGAAAGACCUAGAUGAAUGGUUUCAGGGUCAAUCUGCUGAGUAUUGGCACUUGAAAACAAGUGACGGCUUUGAGGAUUCCAAAAGAGUGACUCUAAUUGAUGACAUUCUCAAAAUCAAGACUCUCAGGGAAAGAGAAGCUGAUCGGGUUCUCUCCCAGGAGUUCGUUCUGAGGCGAGCCAUGUCACUCACCCAGUGAGACAUGUACUCAUGAAUGUCUGCUCACUCCUGGGAGUGUUAAUGUGCUGUAGCUUUUGGUGUGAAGUAUUCCAUGUCAAAGUCGCGUUUGCCAUAUGUAUUUUUUCAUUCCUCUUGUUGCUGUGGGGGUUGGAAAGAGAAGGGAUUAUAUUGGACCCCUUAAGGGUAGGCUCCUGAAAUGGAGUGUAUUCCUUGUUAUACUGGUUCCCUGUUCUGUGCAAAAUGUCUAUGGCGGAAUAGUAUUCCAU